GUCCAGGGAUGGGAAUCGAACCCAGUGUUCCGCUUACCGAGCAGAUGCCAUGUCCACUAGGCUACCCAGGA
rnacentral:tRNA from 1 species